AAUACCUUUUCGAAUUGCCAGUCAAGAGUGAAGUAUGCCAGGAAAAAAGGAGAGGUUCCUCAAUAACCCUCAAGACAUAAUGUCAUUUUCUCUCCUGUGGAUGAAGACUCUCUAUCUGCUGAAUAUUUAUUAGUCUGCUGGGUCACCUGCUAGAAAACAGACAAUUCUCCAGCAACUUCAAACACUCUUCUUCACUGAACAGCAGUUUGGUAUGAGACGUCAAAGGAUAAGAAUGUGCAUACCUAAGUGGUCAAAUGAAGAUGAAUGUUCUAUAUGGCUUUUGCCCCAUACUGCCCAAGACUGAGAGACGUGGUUUAUAGUGCUCACCAAGGUCUGAAUGUCAGAAAGAAUAUUAUGUGAUAAGACUAUUUUAAGAUGCAAAUAUAAUGGGCCAGGUUUUCUGUUUGGUUUCCUGCUAUAU
rnacentral:antisense_RNA from 1 species